UACGUGAAGUUUGCAAUAGACACAACAAGGUGUUUUGGCUGAUUAGGAUUCUCAAAGCAAAAAAGGCAACGCUCUUGCUGAGUUGCAACCUUCUUCGUAGACUUUCGGCAUGGCCCAUCUUCAAAAUCAUAUUCAUCAUCUGCCCGACCAUAUUGUUUAUUCUGGAUUAGCUUUAUGUUCUCAGCCUCCUGUCUUUUCCGUUUUCCCCAGGAUAAACAAUCGUGAGCUCUCCUCAUUUCAGGAAGCGAGACUGAUGAUGACAGUGGAGAGGUGGGUGGUAUGCCGACUGUGUGAUUUGUGAAUUUGAACGACAACGUUUGGAUGCCGAGAAUCAAUACACAACCAAAGUAACCUGUCGAAAGCGAUUCCUCCAAUGCCUUAUUGAAGCUGUUUGCCAGCAACCAAAGGAAGGCGAGAAAAGAAAGUAACAGCGAGCUGCAAAGAAAAAACCCUAGAAAUCAAAGAGAACGAGAGUGAGAAUCGAUGGAGAAGAG
rnacentral:misc_RNA from 1 species